UACGAAGGGGGCUAGCGUUGCUCGGAAUCACUGGGCGUAAAGCGCACGUAGGCGGGUUCUUAAGUCGGUGGUGAAAUCCUGGAGCUCAACUCCAGAACUGCCUCCGAUACUGAGAGCCUCGAGUCCGGGAGAGGUGAGUGGAACUGCGAGUGUAGAGGUGAAAUUCGUAGAUAUUCACAAGAACACCAGUGGCGAAGGCGGCUCACUGGCCCGGUACUGACGCUGAGGUGCGAAAGCGUGGGGAGCAAACAGG
rnacentral:rRNA from 1 species